rnacentral:rRNA from 1 species
UACAGGGGGGGCAAGCGUUGUUCGGAAUUACUGGGCGUAAAGGGCUCGUAGGCGGCCAACUAAGUCCGACGUGAAAUCCCCGGGCUUAACCUGGGAACUGCAUUUUAGACUGUGUGACUGGAGUACUGUAGAGGAUAGUGGAAUUUCCGGUGUAGCGGUGAAAUGCGUAGAGAUCGGAAGGAACACCAGUGGCGAAGGCGACUGUCUGGACAGAUACUGACGCUGAGGCGCGAAAGCGUGGGGAGCAAACAGGG